rnacentral:rRNA from 1 species
UACGUAGGGGGCAAGCGUUGUCCGGAUUUAUUGGGCGUAAAGAGCGUGUAGGCGGCCGUACAGGUCAGCUGUGAAAACUCGAGGCUCAACCUCGAGACGUCGGUUGAAACCGUACGGCUAGAGUCCGGAAGAGGAGAGUGGAAUUCCUGGUGUAGCGGUGAAAUGCGCAGAUAUCAGGAAGAACACCCGUGGCUAAGGCGGCUCUCUAGUACGGUACUGACGCUGAGACGCGAAAGCGUGGGGAGCAAACAGG